GGGUGUCAGGUGGUCUUGCCAAGCCCGUGCCACAGUUUGACUGGCUCCUGUGCCGGAUUGACCAUAUCCAUCCAAUGCUGCAGCUGAGGACCCCUGGCAUACAUAAAGGGGCCUAACACCAGCCCCCCCAGCUGUUAGGCUAGAGUGAAGUUUAGGACUCACAAUGUCCAAGAACCCUGAGACACCAGGACGACUGGAGCAGAGCCUGCUGGAACAGACGGCGCCGUGGAGAACAGCUCCUGGUACCGACUCUGCCUGUUCGUCCUCCUCCAAGAGCAGAACACGAGCAGACCCAGAAGCAGCAGCAGCACCAGACCCACAGACAGGCCGACAGCCAGCAGCAGCAUCUGGUCUGAACAACCACCCAGCUGAACCUCAUGGACCACAUCGACCAGAAAAUACUACAAACAGCUCGACUUACCAGCCAUCAGGGACAGAAUUAAAACUCCUUUUUUAUCAGAUAUUUGAGGCGAUCUAUAUAUAAAGGUAAAAUUUGCAGCUGGUUGUUACCUUUAACAAUUUUACUCCAGAGCACCGUGAGAGGAACGCAGCUGGUUUGUUCUCACCGUAAUCUGAGCAAAACUUCUCUGCAGAUAAAAAGCCAAAACACAAACUCUGAAUUCAAGAGAGAAAAAAAGGUUUUGUCGUCUUUUUGGGUGUAUAAUUUAUUUUCUGCAUCUAAAUUGCCUCAAUGACUCAGUUUUUAUAGUGAUCCCAAAUAAUAAAAAAAAACAUUUCUCUGCUGUUUAGAGUAUAUAAGCAACUGCUUACUUUAAUGCUUUUAUAAUUACGUACUUUUGAUGCUUCAAAUAAAGUCAAAGUCAUUGGAACAGCAAAAAAAAAAAAAAAAAAACUUAGAGCAGAACUGGACAGUUAUUUUAAUUUAAUUGCUCAUUCAUGAUGUCACUAACCCCAUGUACAAAUUGUUUAAAAUCUAUUGGGCCCCUAAAGAAACAUAAAAGAAAAAAAAUCUAAGUUAAAAAAAAAAAAAA